rnacentral:rRNA from 1 species
UACAGAGACUGCAAGCGUUAGGCGGAAUCACUGGGCUUAAAGCGUGUGUAGGCGGAUCGUUAAGUGUCUUGUGAAAUCCCACGGCUCACCCGUGGAACUGCUGGGCAUACUGGCGAUCUUGGGCCAACUAGGGGCAACUGGAACAAGCGGUGGAGCGGUGAAAUGCGUAGAUAUCGCUUGGAACGCCAACGGUGAAAACAGGUUGCUGGGGUUGUGCCGACGCUGAGACACGAAAGCCAGGGGAGCAAACGGG